GGUACAUCUGAUAAUUUUAUCCUAGCUCGCGGAGCGGCAUACCGGGAAAGAAUUCAUUCCACAUAUCGAGGUCGGAAUGGGAUCGGGUUUCCCCAGGAAUGUAGUUGAACAUGCUAAACCUUUGUCGUAGCAUAUCCUGACGGCUUUCCUUCAUGUCCUCAUUACCCUCAUAUACCUCAAUCAAAGCUUCCUACAAAGCUUUUGCUGAAGUAUACUCUCUGAAACCUUGAGCUAUAUAAGGAGACAGAGCCAUGGUUAGAGUGGCCAAUGCCUUUUCUUGGUCUUCCACUUUCUCAAAAUCUUCAUCUGUGUAAUUUUCAAUAGCUUUUUCAAUUACUUGCCCUGCAAUAGUGGUAGUACUUCUGACAGGGUUCUUGAUGAUGCUUCUCCAGAUCUUGAAGUCCUUCAUUUUAAUGUACUUUACGAUCUGGUAUUUCUAUUCAGGAAAACCUUCUGCAGAUAAUAGUCUUGGAAUUCGUGUAGUGGUGCUCAUGACAGAAUCUAGCUCUUGAUGAUGUGCUUGACUUUGAGAAUCCAUUAAUUCUGAUUUUUUUUAAAACUUUAAGGGUUAAAAAAAAUAAAAAUAAAAACUGACAAAAUUUUAGUUUACGAGUAAACUAUGGUUUGGUGUUUACGGUUGGGGUGUUUAUAGUCGAUAGUUUGCGGUUAUUUAAGAUGUACUAAUUACAGUUUAAGAACACAGUUUAUGCCUCUUGAAUGUGCUUGAGUUUACGGCCGUUUACGGUCGUAAUUCCUUCGACGGUAAAUGUAACAUCCCAAAAAUACGGGCCAAAAAUUUCAUUUUUAAUUAAGUGAUUUGUAAAAGCGUUUGUAACAAAAUAUCAUAUGAUCAUAACAUUUGAUAAAACAUGUCUCGUGGCCGUAAACCAAAACAUAAAACAUGAUAAUGUCAGAGUACAAAAUCCCAGAAUUACUCAUGGUGCGGAAAACAAAAGAGCGUGUGUGAUACGACGCUACCGCGUCAGCUCCUUCCCCUUGACAUAAGAGGUACCUGAAACAACGUCUGAAAACCGUAAGCACGAAGCUUAGUGAGUUCCCCCACUGUACAACAUACCAUAUAAUCACAUAGCAUACAUAAUGCCAAACAAUUCUUGGGUGCCCGACCUACCCGGUAUGGCCAUUCUGGGGUGCCGACCUACCCAUGCGGGCAUUCUGGGGUGCCGUCCUGCCCGUGGUAAGCCAUUCUGGGGUGCUGACUACCCAUGUCAAGCCGUUCUGGGGUGCUGACUACCCUUCGGUCCUAACGACCGAACCUCGGGGACUGCUCCCCUCCUACUACCACUAACACAUAUAACAGAUCAUACUGGCAUAUAAACAUAUCAUCACAUACUGUUAGACAUAGCUGGGGUGUCUGACCUACCCUUCGGUCCUAACAACCGGACUCUACUACUAUCACAUAUCAUGCCAUCAUAUAACGUAUCAGGUAGUAGCAAACCUAGAUGAUAUCACAAAUACAAUCAUCUAACAUACAUCUCCUAAUGGUGGGACGGCAUUGUGGCUGUAGCCCCACCGCUACUAGAAGGUAACUCACCUCGAAAGUAGAUGUUGAAGUUUGCUUGCUAAGCGCCUGACUGCUGAAUCGACUAUAGUAUAUGUACAAACAUGUAAGUGAACUACUCCUUCGACUGGUCUGCCCGCCGUUUGGUUUGAGGGCCUACAUCGACUAUGCCUCCCGCUGACUGAGGGAAGCGAUCUAUCUAAUUUCGGGUCAUUUCUUGGUGAGCAUGAUCUACCAUAAUCUCUUCGAUCCCUUCAUUUAUGUGCCAGAAUAAAGAGAGAUUUGGUAGGAAAGUGGAAGAUACUUUUUUUAUAUGAUAAUCAAAGGGAGUGGGAAAGCUGCAGUAAUUCUGUGGAAAAGCCCGCUUCUCUUUGUCUUCGAGCUUGAAUUCUUCAAUCCACUGAUUCGUUCCUUCAUAUACCUCCCCACCAAUAGAUAGAGACAAAUGGGAAUAACCGAACCACGUCUACAAAAUGCCAGUACCAUGCAGCUGCUUCAAAGCCAACGUGAUGCUCCUUGGUCAGAUGACCAAGAUAUUGGCGAAUACCACAUAUGAUCGAGAAAAGAGUACCUAUAAUCACAUGAAAACCAUGAAAGCCAGUUGCUAAGAAAAAGGUAGAACCAUAAAUACUAUCCGAAAUUAUGGGGGCGCUUGAUAAUAUUCCAUUCCUUGAAAGGAGGUGAAUACUAGAGCCAGUGAAAUGGUAGCUACUAAAGUGUAAACUGCUCGUUUUUCCUUCCCCACGAGUAUAGCAUGAUGAGCCCAAGUUACGGCAGCUCCGUAUGAAAGGGGAAUAAGAGUAUUAAGAAAAGGGAUUUCCCGAGGAUCUAAAACCGCAAUCCCUUUUGGGGGCCAAAUACCUCCGAUCUCUACCGUAGGUGCCAAAGAAGAAUGAGAAGAAGCCCAAAAAAGAGCAAAAAGGAACAUAACCUCCGAAACGAUAAACAGAAUAAACCCAUAUCGAGGUCCUAAUUGUACGACUUUGGUAUGAUGUCCUUCAAACGUGGAUUCACGUAGAACAUCGCGCCACCAUACGAACAUGGUAUAUAGGAUAAAGAUUAGGCCCAAAUUGAGAAGUGUUGCACCCCCUUGAAAUGAGUGCAUGUACAUCACACCUCCUAUGGUGGUUGCCAAAGCUCCGAGUGAACCCGAAAUAGGCCAUGGACUUGGAUCUACCAAAUGAUAAGAGUCCUCUGAGAUUCAAGCGUAAACAAUUUUGCCUCGAUUGCAUGUAAACCCCCCCUUCACCCCGCCCCCUAAAAUGGUAAAGAAGGCUCUUUGGGGUCUCUCUUUCUAUCUGAUAGGAAAAACAAAUAGGAAGGGAUGGUUCUUUCAUUGCAAGAAGUCUAACUAGAAAAGGAUAUCCCUAUUACUUUGAGAAGAGAAUUGUUGGUUUGACCGACGAACUACGUGGGAAAAUGGAUCUUCUUUCUUUUCAGAAAGCAUUUUUUGAAAGUAACAAUUCCAUUCAGUUCGGUUUCGGAAAACUUUCCGUCGGGGCCUAACAUCAAAGGCGCAGGUUGAUCUCUAUGGUUGAGGCUGCAAUUCAUUUUUACACGUAGGAAGGGCUUACUCUACUAGAGGCUCGGCUUGGUCUCGUUCCCUUCCCGUACUAUUCCUCCGCACUAAAAAAAGAGUGAUUGAGAAUCUCGAGAACCUUUCCGAACGUCUGUCUUCGCGGGGCAAUUUGAAAAGGAGUAUAUCUUUCUUGUAGUGCCUUCCAUUCCACUAUUCUGAUCUAGAAAGAAUCUCUUCUGAACGACCAAGUCAUGAUGAGAUUAAAAACCGAUGCUUCCUUGGCCGUGUGGAACAUGGAUUAGCAUUAUGUCAUUCCUACAAGUGAUCCCCCAUCUAGGAUUGGAAGAAGUGCUAUAUGCAGACUUUGAGAUCAAAUAGAAGAUGUUCCUUUCCAUUCCUCGUGAGCCACUAAUUUCUCCGAAACAAGAGAUCAAAGUGAUCUUCCUCCUUUUUCCCAAUAAGUCGACGGCCUUACACCAUUGGGAGACUUCGAAUAAACUGGAGUACAUAUAGGAUAGACCGGUGCUAAAACCUUUUCUCAAGAUAUCUUCCAAACUGUUGGGCUCCUUGCUCCGGAUGUUGUUCGUACGGUGUGAAAGCAGUUGGUUACGUAGUUUUAGAAUUCUGCUGAUCCCAAGUAGUCCAUCUCCAUCAUUGCAUAUGGCAAUAUAGAAAGUAAAGAGGAAAAGGCAUGACCAAAAGAAUUGUGUGAAAUAAUUCAAUUGAUCUAGUUGAGGUAUGAUUGAUUCAGUGAUGUGACUUCUCCUGCUCCAGUAAAUCAGUCUGGAGACUUGCUAAUUCAAUUCAAUUGCCUUGGUUUUUCCAAGAAAUACAUGGGAAAAAUAGGGAGAAAGAAAUGGGAUUGUGUCAACAGGCCCCUAUUCCGACGAAAAACAGCCCCUUUUCUUUUUGUUUAGCCUGUUCCUAUCAGAUAAAUUCUUAAGAGAAGAGGAAAAAAGUCCUCCGUCAUAGGCGGCCGAGGGUACCUUCCUAGAGGUUCUUUUUUAAUUUGAAUCAGGUCUCCUCACUUAUGUUUAUGCUUAUGAUAAUAUAUGCUGAUCCCUAAUCUCAC
rnacentral:lncRNA from 1 species